rnacentral:rRNA from 1 species
GAACAUGAGAGUUUGAUCCUGGCUCAGGAUGAACGCUGGCGGCGUGCCUAACACAUGCAAGUCGAACGAAGCGGUUUUGGUGAAGUUUUCGGAUGGAACCGGAACUGACUGAGUGGCGGACGGGUGAGUAAC